UAAAAUCAUACCACAUUAAAAACCCUGAACAUAUUUUGAAUGAAAUUACUGAUUUUAACAAUUAUAAUAGAUAUUUUACACCUUUCGUAUAAUUUCAAACUCACCACUCUUGCAUUUGGUUUGUCACAUCCUGAUACCAAUUUUUAUUUUCUUAAGUUGUCAUAUUACUUACUUCCUCUUUUAACUGAUCUCAGUCCGUUGUAACCAGUCGAUAUGUGCAUACGACUCAAGUUUUUCGGUAACACUUAACGUUAUAAUACGCUUUCAAUAAUAUUAAUACCCUUUUUCUUUUAGAUUUUUAACGAUAAAUUCCCUUUUUAUAACACGCCUUCAGCUUUCACAGUUUCUUUUACGCCUGCCUUCAGCAUUUCAAAACUUUAUUAACCUAUCACCCGACGUUGGAGUUUUUAACCUGACAUGGUAAACCCACGCCGUUUUCAAAAAUUUCACUUUUUUCUUUAAUCCAAAAUUAUAUUUUUAAUCAUCGGUCCGUCGUAGUUUUUUGUAAGAGAAAUUUUUCCACAUGAUCAUUUUUUCACGUGUUCAUCAUUCUUAGUUUUUGACGUCGUACCUGAAGACGCUUUUAGAAAAAGCGAAACAUUGUUGUACCGAAAUUAGAAAAAAAUAAUAAAUAAUCAUCGUGGA